rnacentral:rRNA from 1 species
UCCGGUACCGUCAUUAGUCACGGGUAUUAACCGUAACCGUUUCGUUCCGGCUGAAAGAGCUUUACAACCCAAGGCCUUCUUCACUCACGCGGCAUGGCUGGAUCAGGGUUGCCCCCAUUGUCCAAAAUUCCCC